GCAGCUGUGGUGGGCAACAACUUCCUAGCCCACAACCUGACCAUCGAGAACGCGGCCGGCCCGUCCAAGCACCAGGCGGUGGCGCUCCACGUUGGCGCCGACCUCUCGGCCUUUUACCCGUGCAGCUUCAUGGGCUACUAGGACACCCUCUACGUGCACUCGCUCCGGCAGUUCUUCCGCGAGUGCGACAUCUACGGCACCAUCGACUUCGUCUUCGGCAAUUCCACCGCCAUGCUCCAGAGUUGCAACCUCUACGCCCCCCUCCCCAACCAGAGCAACACCUACACGACACAGGGCCGGACCGAUCCCAAACAGAACACUGGCAUCUUCGUCCAGAAGUGCAAGGUGGACGCCGCCUCUGACCUCGCCGCAGUGCAGUCCAGCUUCAGGACCUACCUCGGCCGGCCGUGGAAGCAGUACCGACGCACCGUGUUCAUGCAGUCUGAGCUCGACAUCGUCGUCGGCCCCGCCGGCUGGCUCGCGUGGGACGGCACAUUCACGCUCGACACGCUCUACUACGCCGAGUACCAGAACACAGGGCCCGGCGCCAGCACGUCCGGUCGGGUUGCGUGGAAGGGGUGCCACGGCAUCAUUAGCGCGUCUGAGGCCAGCACCUUCACGGUGGGGUCCUUCAUCGACGGCGACGUCUGGCUCGCCGGCACAUCCAUCCCGUUCUCCGGCGGGUUGUGA
rnacentral:rRNA from 1 species